GAGAAACUACGCCACCUCCCCUGCAGCCGAGCCGCACGCAGCAGUUCCCCGCGGGAAGUGGGCGACGCCGGCGGGGGGGAAGGGAGACCCGGUCCCCAGCCCCGGCCGGGGGACCCCCGCCGCCCACAGCCAAGAGAACAACUUUUAGCCGGCAGCCUCGGCCAGCACUGCACCUGUCUCCGAAGCCUCCAUCGCUCCUCCUGAUGAUCAAAGGGGAAUUCUAGAAGACUGUGCUCUACAAAUAUACAUGCGCAUCGUUUUCCCCCUUGCGUCUCGCUCCGCAGGAAGGAAAGAGAAACGGAUUAAAGCGGCAGCGUGUGUUCAGCCCCAAGCACCACCAAGCCUUCCUGGAGUGGAACUUUUGCUCAGUUCUUGGCUGGAGGGAUGCAGUACGACUUUCCUUCACUUGUUUUCAGGGACUCUUAACUGGUAAAGAGAGUUUGGGACAUUUUACCAUCUGGAGUUUCUCUGUGCCUUGCUGAUGAUCUGAGCUCAAACCUGCCAGAUAAGAAAACCUCCUGUAACAUCUGAGUAAGUAGAUGCUGUAUCUGCUUUAAUUUAUUGCCUAAAAAAAGAAAAUUUUUUAACAUUU
rnacentral:lncRNA from 1 species